UGGGGAAUAUUGCACAAUGGAGGGAACUCUGAUGCAGCGACGCCGCGUGAACGAAGAAGGCUUUCGAGUCGUAAAGUUCUUUUAUAUGGGAAGAAAAGGACUGUACCAUAGGAGAAAGCUCCGGCUAAAUACGUGCCAGCAGCCGCGGUAAUACGUAUGGAGCGAGCGUUGUCCGGAAUUAUUGGGCGUAAAGGGUGCGCAGGCGGCUUUACAAGUUGGAUGUGAAAUAUUGUGGCUCAACCACAAACGUGCAUCCAAAACUGCAAAGCUUGAGUUAAGGAGAGGUAAGUGGAAUUCCUGGUGUAGCGGUGGAAUGCGUAGAUAUCAGGAGGAAUACCGGUGGCGAAGGCGACUUACUGGACUUAAACUGACGCUCAGGCACGAAAGCGUGGGGAGCAAACAGG
rnacentral:rRNA from 1 species